GGCUUUCAAGGAAAAAGUUAGAUGAUUUUCCCGGUUCGCGGAGGGUGUGUUUAGCCCCAAGCUAAACAAGGAAGGUUUUAGUCCUGCUGCAUUUCUACAGGGAAAAGGAAGAUCGUUUGCUGAAAUGAAAAGUUAGUGACAGCACUAACUUUUGCCUUAUUUAUUGAAAUAUUAGCUAAUGCCAACACCUAGGGAAACCUAGAAAUUAGACUCAAUGACCAGUAAUGAAGAAUGAUUGACGUGUGGCCUCGGCGAAUCGGGCGCUGCUGCAGGGAGAGCGCGGCGCUGCAGAGGGCCUGCCGGGGAGCGCUCCCGAGGCUCGCCGCGGUAUGAGAACAUGCAUGGAAAUGCGCCAGUGGAAUGUUUGCGGACAGACACAGAGGGCUCUUCGAGCUUCAGUGCUGCCUCCAUGCACAGAUAUUCCAAAAUGACUGCGCUUCACUCGGAGCAAGCUGCCUGUGAGGAAGUGGGCAUUUGCACCUUUCAAGCUGGAAGGUGACAACUGCAAUCUUGGGAAUUUUCAUUUGUGAGAGAGCAGACUUCAAAGAAACCUUCACUUGACUGUAACUUUGGGCUGAGGUACAAGGGUACAAGACCCUAUUCCGGGAACUCCGUCACCCAUGCUAGGCCUUACCACCUUCACCCACAACCCUCUGGGAUAUACGUCAAUAUUGUGAUUAUCUCCAUUGCACAGACAAGGAAAUUGAGACUGGAGACUUUCGACGACUUGACUAAGUUUGUGGAGCUACGAUGUGCCGGAGUCAGGCUUAGAACCCAAGCCCGUCUCACACCAGCAGUGGGACUUUUCCUGCUGCCACCUGCCGUGGUAGGUGUUCACACAGCAAACCCACCGACAGUGUGGGGACAGCCUGGUCAGGACUCACACAGCCUCGUUCCUGGGCAGGUUUUCAGUCAAGUUAAACACAGCGAGUCAAAAGGUCAUAUCUUGGGGCUCUUUGGAAGGCACAGAAAUCCCAAAGAAAGCAUGGUGAAGCAGAGGCGGAACCCCAAGGUCGGCCUGGACCCUCAGUCCUCCAGCUACUCAAGCUGGUCCUCCAUGGCUGACGACAAAUGAGGGGCUUGCCUCCUGGCUGUACCUGCUCCAGCUCCCACCUGGGCCAGGCCAGAGAGGAGGACCUGGCUGCCCUUCUGCAGCCUUCAGCAGCAUCUGGGAGCAAGAGGGAAGACGCGCUGCGUACAGCUCAGGAGUGAUUUAAACACUCUUCCAGCUCAAAGGGGAAUCUUGGAUUUCAUUAAUUAAUACAUCAAUAGAAGCCAAUGGAGAAAAACAUGUCUUGUUAUCUGGCUUCUCAGAUGCUAGACAUGGGCUCAUUAGCCUUAAGCAUAUCAGCCCGAUAACACUAUUUAUUCCAUACAGAAUAAUGAUCUACUCUAAGGGAAUGCCGCAGUGAACCGGAAGGCCGAGUCCAUCCAUUAU
rnacentral:lncRNA from 1 species